GAUGAAGAACGUAGCGAAAUGCGAUACGUAAUGUGAAUUGCAAAUUCAGUGAAUCAUCGAAUCUUUGAACGCACCUUGCACUCCUUGGUAUUCCGAGGAGUACGCCUGUUCGAGUGUUAUGAGCUCUCAAAACGCAAUUGGCUUAAAACCUGAUUGUUGUUUUGGAUUUGAACUUUGCCGUGUUAUAACGGCUGGUUUUAAAAGUAUUAGCUGGUACUAGAACGAAUUGGUUCUACUCAACGUGAUAAUUAUCUGAUCGUUGAGGACAUUCCUUUCACGAGGAAUGGCCAUAGUAAAUUCAAUGGACUGCUUCUAAUCUGGCUUUAAUUCUUUAUUGGAUUAACCACUUUUCAAAUCUGACCUCGAAUCAGGUGGGACUACCCGCUGAACUUAAGCAUAUCAAUAAGCGGAGGA
rnacentral:misc_RNA from 1 species